UGGGAUUGUGCAGUAGCUGCUUCGGAGUCUCAGAGCUGUUGGUUCCACAGGGUACUUCUUGCUCUGUGACCUGUAUUUUGUGAAGAAGGCAAACCUCAGGAACUGGACUUUGACAGCCAAUCACUUUAAAAUCUCCUUUUCUCUCUCGACCUUGCAGUGUUUACCUUCCUAGGGUACUCUCCAGGAAAUGAAAGGGUUGAAUGUCCUUCCAUGCUCAAGUGGAUUACUAACUCUGCCCCAUGACCAGCCAAAAAUCUGGAUUGCAUGGUAGUUUUGAAGGGAAAAGGAAGUAGGGAAAUGGAAGAAUAUGUUUCUGUGAACCUGUCAACAGACCACUUUCUGGGACGGAAGAAUAUCCAUCCUAUAGCAGUAGUUUAAGUCAGCUUUUAUGUGGGGGUAAUCCUAACAGCUCUUUAAGUAGAAAAAGCUAACUAUUCUGCAUUUAGUCAAAUCAAACUCAAGUUAUGAGCGCUACUUUCUUCUUGAAUGAUUUUCUUUGUUUUGAAAUAGGUUGUAUUCGCAACAUACAAGCAGAAAUUCACAGUCUUUAUGCACCAGAAGAUAUUAAAAAUAUUGCCUCCUAGAAUCACCACGUUAGACUAAUACGUGGAGAACAGGUACUUCAAUGGCUAAUGAGUUACGGCUAAAUAAAAGCUCCAUGUUCAGAGGCAGCAUACCUCUGAACACCAAUUGCUGGGAAGCAGAAUGCCUUCAUGUCCUGCUUGUGGAUUUCUCGGAAGAACGUGUUCGGUUAUUGUGG